UGUCAUUGUUUCUAAACGCUAGAGAAAAAAGAAAUUGUAUAAAUUGACUAGUCGUAAAGAAUUUUCAUUUAAUUUUGGAGUCUUCUUAAUUCUCGUCUUUCAGUGAGGGAGAGUGAGAGAGAUAGCAAAGAUCAUCAACGUUACUAAUCCCACAGCCAUGGGAAAAGCUAUAAACCCUAACCCCAAGUCCAAGGGAAACGCUCCUUCGAGAGCAGCUUCGUUCAAGAACUACGGAUCUGGGCAACAAAAUUUCGAAGAUGCAAAGAUUAAAAGUGAGUCAUGUUCAUGUGUUCUAAGAAGAAAUGGGUCUGAUAAAGUGGUUUACCACGGUGGAGCUGGUCAAAAGUUCAAGAAUGCAGUGGUAAACGGUGUAAAAGUGGAAUCAGAGACCACAUCCUCUUCUGUAACAAAGACUACAAGCAGUAAGAUCUAUUGCACUACUUGUGGAUCCUUCACCAACCUUGGAACUGGAUAUCAGAAUUUCAAAGAUUGCGAUAUUCGUAUCGGUUGAAACUAAGUGCUGGGAGAGAAGUUUUAAGAGGGCCACAUUGGUACUGCAAGCCAAUGAUCUGCAAUUUCUAUUUUCCUACUUUACGUUUGGUGUUUGUUUGUGUUAUGUUUUUCUGUGGAUUGUAAUAACCUAGGCCCUUCCCCAGAUGGAUAUUUGUUUCUCUUGUUAUGACGUUCCUCUUUUUUCAACAACUCAUAUCUCUUGAAACUUUUAUGCUCUGAAAAACACCAUGAGUGUUGGAAUGUGAUGUACUUGGAUUUCUUUUCAUCUGGUCUGUGUUUUAAAUCUGUUUGUUAUGAAGGUAUUUCAAGCCAAUGAUUAAGUGAACCUUAUAUAGCA